UACGUAGGUGGCAAGCGUUGUCCGGAAUCAUUGGGCGUAAAGAGCGCGCAGGUGGUUGAUUAAGUCUGAUGUGAAAGCCCACGGCUUAACCGUGGAGGGUCAUUGGAAACUGGUCGACUUGAGUGCAGAAGAGGGAAGUGGAAUUCCAUGUGUAGCGGUGAAAUGCGUAGAGAUAUGGAGGAACACCAGUGGCGAAGGCGGCUUCCUGGUCUGUAACUGACACUGAGGCACGAAAGCGUGGGGAGCAAACAGGAUUAGAUA
rnacentral:rRNA from 1 species